GGUGGUGAUGCACGACGACUUUGGAUAUGCUGGUCAGGGAGGCCCUUUCUGAGAAGUGACAUCCAGGCAGGGCGAUGAGAAUGAGUGUCAUCUGAAGAGUUGGGAGGGACAUUACAAGCAGAUGUGUCAUCAAGAGUAAAGAACAUGAGUCUGGAAACGGCCAGGGCCUCUCUCAACUCAGAAGCCAUCCUUCUGCCCAAGGAGCAGAGUCCAAACUCCCUCUCCAGCCCGUUCAGGCCCUCCCAGACCUCACUCCGGUCUGCCCUUCCUGCUUCCCCUGCUUUCUAGGGCGUUCCCACCACCUGAGGAGCUUUACAGUCCAUUCCGCCUCAAUCACUGUAUGGCUCUCCUCUUACAUUAGCCCUGGAGAAGGACCCAUAAUGCUAUGGGCUUCUGUUUCUACCUGGUGUGUGCUGAGGAAAAGUUCCUGGAACUGAGUGAUCUCUGCCCCCUUGUUCUGCGAGACUUGUCUGUGGGAUGUGGGCCAUAGUUGUGUUGAGGAAGAAUAAAGAUGCUUCUGUGUGCAUGUAGAAGGUGUGAAAUGUUUAAUAAGCAUCAUCCUGCGCAUGUGGUGUUAACACAAACAUCCACGUGACACCUCAAGUGGGUGACUGCACAGAUGAGGGAUACAGGAAUGCGAUGACUCACCGGGAGGCCUCACUGUGGCUUCAGGCAAUUUCCGAAGGUCCACUCAGCAGGCCGUGGAGGCACUUCGGGUCUGCCUAGUCACUUCCUUCUCCCUUACUAACACCCUCCAAUACCUAAACGGCACGACAAACUGCUGAGAACCUCACAUCAUGACAAAGCUGAUUUUCACAAGUGUCUCUGGACCGGACAUUCCGGGAGGUGAACGCGUCGUCCCUCCGCAGCCCCUCCUGCGCUGGGUCAUCAGUGACGCUGCACUCAGGGGGUUCCACCACCCGCACUCUUUUCACUGUGCUGCUUGGGUUUUAAUUCUGAGAGCUACCAUUCCAGUUGGUUCACUUAGUCAGUACUCAAUAGACAUAAUGAGUUUCUAUUGUGUGCCAGGCACUAGGGAGACCAAGAAAGACCUCCUAGGCCUCAGUUUCCUCAUCCGUCUAAGGGGACAGCAGCAGCAUCUCCUUCACAGGGUGGUUGGAAGAACUGAAGGGAGACCAUGCACGGAAAAGGAUGUAGCACAGUGCUCCACAAAUGCUACAGGAAAGAAGGCUUUCUGCUGGAUUUACUGUCCUGCAGACCCAGCAGGGACAAAGGAGGGACCCAGGAAAGCAUGGGAGACUCUGUUCUCUGCUGGGGAGAGGAGGACAGUAGAGUCUCCACUGAAGACUAACUGGGCCCAAGAGGAGGGCCCAAAAGGAGGGUGGACAGCCUGGGAAGGAAGGCCUAGGAGUGCUGGGGUGAAGCCAGUGAGGGGCCUCGCUGAGCUUGAAGCUGGGAGAGAUGGGGCCGAUGCAGCUCCUCUGGAGAGCCACCUUCCGCCCUUUGUCGUCACGCUGUCCUCCCACAACUAUGGUGCUACAGAUGGGCUUCCACAGCCAGGCCUUCUGGAAAGAUCCACAAACAGGCUGCAGGGCCCAGCGCCAAGGACAUCAUGUAGUGAAUAAUGUGCUGCAUAAACUAAAUUAUGAAUUUAUGUGGUGAAUAAACUAAAGAAGGGAACCGGCAGCAGGGAGCUCUCAGGCUGGGAGUGGGGAAUGUUCUUUCAAGAUAUUCCCCCCGCCCCCCACCCCCAGAGGAUUCUAUCUCACAAUGGUUCCUUCCUCUGAGUCUUAGAGGAGGCUCUAUGAGAAGAUGGAUGCCUCUCUCAGGAAGCUAAGAGGAAAGUGUUUCCCUCACUCUUCUGCCAAGUGAUGUUCGGUGCCUGUGAGGGACAGCCCCAGAGUUGCCUCUCCUUCCUGACAGCAUUUUGGGGAAGACCAACGACACAGCCACUUCUAGUUUCUGCAACUCGUUUUUGCUGGAAUUGCCCUCAGCUCUUGCCUGCUAAUGGACCCAAAUGAAGACUAGGUUUCAGACUGAGGCGCAGGGCAAGAGACAGAAUGCUGAAGCACCAGUGGAGAGAGCAGACGCAAUGGGACAUUCUGAAGCUAAAAGGACCAUGGAUGCAGGCCAGAGCAAAGAUGCCUUGAAAAAAUUUAGUUUUACGUAAAAGGGAUCCUGAGCUCAAAGAACUGAGAGGAGGGCACAUAAUCAAAUGUAUUAUUAAUCUCCUCACCAAAGAACAUGGUGACUUUAGGCUAUCUUGUUUAAAUAAAUCUUCCAGAAAAGAAGAAACUCACUAUAUAAAAAAAACAAGGAAGGAAUUCGAAUAUUUUGGAGACAGCCAGACAGUUUUGUGAAAUGAAAGCUAGGAGAGAUGAGGGCAGUAAAUGUUUGGGCCGAAACAGUAAAAACGGGGAUUAAUACUGCCCAUAAUCUUCUCUAAAAUAUUUUUCAUUUACCAACUGGGGAAAAACAAUUAGAAUUUUCUCUCCGGCCUUGGCAAGCCAUCUCUUUUGGCAUAAGAGAUUCCUGAGUGCUGAGCUUCAUUCAAAUCUCUAUUUCUUUUCCCAAACCCAGAGCGAAUUAAGCAAAUAAUAUACAGUUCAGCCAUUUUAACAGUAUAAGGAAAAUGCUUUAAUCUGUAAAAGGAAUGGAAAUGACUAGUUUAGCGACACUGACAAUUACUGCAAGCAUCUUAGGGCUCUUAACAUUUACUUCAUGGGCUCCACAGUGGGAGAGGGAGCAGAGAUAACAGAGGGGGUCCUAAAUCCACCCCCAGCCCUGGAGAAAGAAAGGGGAAGGGACAGAAGGGCUGGGAGACGGCAGCAGCUGGGGGGCGCAGAGCGGAGACAGGGCGGCAGCGUGAAGUCAAAUCUGGGGAUUCCAGAAUCGGUUCUGGUACUAAUUAGCUGCGUGUGAUUUUAGGCAAAUCACAAACUCCCCAGGCCCCCAAAUUCCAUUUGUAAAAGGAGGUGACCCAACUCAGUUUUCCUCCUUCCAGGGCUCAAGUUCUACCAAAACUUUUCCAAUCCCAGAGCAAACAUCAAGACUGUGUCUGAAGGGAAGGUCUGCGUCUCAGGAAUAUUCCACUCUUCAAAGCAAGCGGGGCGGGGAGAAGAAAGAAAGAUGAAACAAGAACAAUUUUGGCAAGGUCACCCUAGAAUAGCUGCUUUAAAGGCCCUGCUUCUUCGGGGGUGAGGGGAAGGUGGGGCAUUAGCAUACGAGACCCCCAGGCGACCCCCAGGCCGGCUCCCCGACCUUGUCACAGCCACUGUCACUUACAGGAGCCUAAGGGGUUUUUAAAAUACAGGGUAGCAAGUUUAGACACGGCCCAUCACUAUUUAUGCCAUCCUAACCAACACCACGUCACUAAACUCCUUCUUCCUCUCUUGAAUUUACUGCCCAAACACAGGCCAUUUCGGAGGUUCUAGAAUAAAGACCCUGGAGGUGAGAGAGGAGCGGAGGGUGGGUGUCACCACCCCUUCCUGUCCUGGGCUCCAGGCUUUAAACGACGCUGCGCCCGGAGCUCUCUCCAUUUUCUCUCACUGCUUGUUUCUUGGCUGCUGGCCCAGUCGGAGCCCUCGCCACCGCCAGCGUUUCAGACGAAGGCGACCUGUUGACAGACCAACACCCAAGGGACGUUACAAUAAAACAUGGCAUUUGCUAAUUACAAGGGGGUGAUGUGUGAAUUUUUAAUUAGUGGGUGACUGAGACGAUAAUGAGGGAAUGACAAAGGACAGGAGAGGGGAAAGAAGGGCCACGCGGGGCUGGAAACGGAAGGAGGGCGGCAGCCCUCGGCUGGCAGGAGCCCAGGGUCGACCGGGAAGCCCGCGCC